rnacentral:rRNA from 1 species
AACGAACGCUGGCGGCAGGCCUAACACAUGCAAGUCGAGCGAGGACUUCGGUUCUAGCGGCGGACGGGUGAUUAACGCGUGGGAAUGUGCCCUUCUCUACGGAAUAGCCCUGGGAAACUGGGCUUAAUACCGUAUACGCCCUAUUGGGGAAAGAUUUAUGGGAGCAGGAUCGGCGCGGGUUGGAUUAGGUGGUUGGUGGGGUAAUGGCCUACCAAGCCGGGGAUGCAUGGCUGGUUUGGGAGGAUGAUCAGCCACACUGGGGCUGAGACACGGCCCAGACUCCUACGGGAGGCAGCAGAGGGGAAUCUUAGACAAUGGGGGCAAACCUGAUCUAGCCAUGCGGCGUGAGUGAUGAAGGCCGUAGGGUUGUAAAGCUCUUUCAGCUGGGAAGAUAAUGACGGUACCAGGAGAAGAAGCCCCGGCUAACUACGUG